UCUAUAGGUGCAUCUAAUAAC
rnacentral:piRNA from 1 species